ACCCUCUCGCGGCGCACGGCAGCCGGUUCAUCGGCGCCCGAGCGCCACUAGCCCACACCCACGCACCCACGCACACCUUCACGACUGCAUAGAUUCAACGACGAGUGUGUGUGCAUGUUUGGGGAGGAAAUCCACCACCACAGAGCACAACCGGGCGUCGCCGUUCAUCGUGUGUCCCCUUUUCUCUCUCAUACACCCCGUCCACCGCGUGCGCACCUUUCCUACCCGCCGAUAAAGACCACAUGCAGGCCUCACCGGUGCUGGCCGGCGCGGCGGUGCGCCGAACGGCGGCGGCCUCCGUCGGCAGCGAACCUCGCACCAGGUUACCCUUUCUCAUCAACGUUGUCAAGAAGGCGCAGAAGUCUGCCAACACGGUGGUUGCGCCGACGCCGGCACUCUCCUCGACGUUGUCGACGACGGAGCCGCCUAUCCAAGCCGCCGCCUUCAAGCCAUACCCGCUUCUGAGCCCUGGCGAGACCAAGCAGGCCGCCGGCAGCUCCCUCCUCUACAAGGACGACGUCUGCGUGCUUGUGAACGAUGCAUUCCCCAAAUCGAUGGUUCACUGCCUGGUCAUGCCACUGGACCUCCGCCUACAGUCCCUCAACGCCCUCACCAAGAAGGACAUCCCACUGCUGCGCCACAUGCUGCACGUGGGGGAUGAGUACGUUCGCUACUUAAAGACGGCGGUUCCCCACACCUACACGGCGCGCCGGUUUAUUGCGGGAUUCCACGCGCUUCCCUCGUUGCCCAUGCUGCACCUGCACGUGCUGUCUACGGAUCUGGACAGUCCUUGUCUCAAGAACAAGAAGCACUACAACAGCUUCGCCACCUUCUUCUUCCUCACGGGCUACCGCGUCUUGGAAGACCUGGAGCAGCACGGCCGCGUGACGCUGAACCAGGAUGUCACUCGCUUUCGACAGAUGGAGGAGCAGGACAUGAAGUGCCUGUGGUGCGGCACCGCACUGCCGAGCGUGCCCGCUAUGAAGUCUCACAUCCAGAGCUGCCCGCAGAACAAAGCCGUGGAGAAAUCGUCGUAGGUGGGUGGGUGUGGGCUUUUGGCCACCGUGACGCACAAACGUAACACUCAGCAGCAGCACUCAAAGGAGGGAGCUACGCCAGCCGGCUCAUCCGCAGGAAGGCAGUGCCGACAGGUCUGCAGAGAAGACACCGGCUUUUCGGCAGCGUGACGCGUCACCUGAACAUGACCGCUUCCACAGCGCGUCUUUUUACGCGCGUCUGUGUAAAAAAAAAAGAAAACGCAGAAUGUGCAUGCAAUCUGUGCGUAGGUGCCGCGGCACCUAUCGCCUCCGCUUCUCUGCAUCUCUCUCCUCUACUGCCCUUUUCUUUUCCCAUUCUUCAUCUGCAACCCGAUGCCGGCGUGCGUGUCGGAAG
rnacentral:misc_RNA from 1 species